rnacentral:lncRNA from 1 species
UGGCAUUGCUUCCAAGCACAGCGAAAACACAAGCACGUCCUUCCUUCAAAAAUGGCCCUCGUCAAGAACGUGGUCUCGUUCCUGUGCGUGAUCGUGGGGUCGCUCGCGUUCGCCGUGCAGGCCGUGCUCGCCGCCAGAGGCCUCGCCCCAGCCACCGGUACCUAUAGUCAGCUCUCAGUCCCAAUACUUUCCUGGUUUUUUCAGCGUAGGAAAUUUUUGUAACCCGGUCUGACGAGAUGUCCUGUGUGCGUGCGUGGGCUCGAACGCCAUUGCAGGUGCUUUAAGCAGCAAGAAUUACACGGUUGAACCGCCUAAUCCCCCUUGUGUAAUAGGUGUUACUUACUGUUCGAGCGGCCCACCCGCACAUUAGUAUCCGUGAAGAUAUAGGCGGCCUGGGAACCACACUUGGAGGCAGAUUGGAGCUUGGAGAUCGAUACAAGUACUGUCCAAGCAUGAAUAAAUUAGCUACUGAACACUAGUCUUUGUUGUUAAGCAUAGUGAUGUGAGACUAUCUAUCGUUGUGUUUCCCUUUUCGAAUAAACACCAGACAGCGCCACGUGAUUAUCUAUAAUACCAGGAGAAGAAAAGCCACGCCGUGUUUACGCGGUACAUUUCUCUUUCUCCGUGUGUUGGUGUUGUAUCUCGCAACAAGUAAUAUGUGUUUUAAGUGUCUCCGUACGUGAGUCUGAUCUGCU